rnacentral:tRNA from 1 species
GGAUGGAUGUCUGAGCGGUUGAAAGAGUCGGUCUUGAAAACCGAAGUAUUGAUAGGAAUACCGGGGGUUUGAAUCCCUCUCCAUCCG